GCAUAAUAAUUUGUCCCUUAAUUGGGGGCUAGUAUGAAUGGUUUAACGAAAAAUCAGCUUUUUUGGGAAAAACACUUGAAUUUAAUUUUUUAGUGAAAAAGCUAAAAUGCCGUAAAAAGACGAGAAGACCCUAUAGAGUUUUAUAUUUAGCCCUUUAAGUAACUUAAUAGGAUGUGCGGGUUAACUAAGGGGAUAAUAUUUUGUUGGGGCGACAUUUAAAUAAAAAAAACUUUUUAUUUUUAAGACUAAGAUUUUAGAUAACGAUUGAUCCUUAAAAAAGAUUAGAAGAAAAAGUUACCUUAGGGAUAACAGCGUUAUCUUCCCUAAGAGCUCGAAUCGACGGGAAGGU
rnacentral:rRNA from 1 species